rnacentral:rRNA from 1 species
CCUACGGGAGACAGCAGUGGGGAAUAUUGGGCAAUGGGCGCAAGCCUGACCCAGCAACGCCGCGUGAAGGAAGAAGGCUUUCGGGUUGUAAACUUCUUUUAAGAGGGAAGAGCAGAAGACGGUACCUCUUGAAUAAGCCACGGCUAACUACGUGCCAGCAGCCGCGUUAAUACGGAGGGGGCAAGCGUUGUCCGGAUUUACUGGGUGUAAAGGGCUUGCAGCCGGGAAGACAAGUCAGAUGGGAAAUCCCGCGGCUCAACCGCGGAACUGCGUUUGAAACUGUUUUUCUUGAGUACGGGAGAGGUCAUCGGAAUUCCUUGUGUAGCGGUGAAAUGCGUAGAUAUAAGGAAGAACACCAGUGGCGAAGGCAGAUGACUGGACGGCAACUGACGGUGAGGCGCGAAAGCGUGGGGAGCAAACAGGAUUAGAUACCCUUGUAGUC